GAACGAACGCUGGCGGCAUGCCUAACACAUGCAAGUCGAACGAAGCCUUCGGGCUUAGUGGCGCACGGGUGCGUAACGCGUGGGAAUCUGCCCCUUGCUUCGGAAUAACAGUUAGAAAUGACUGCUAAUACCGGAUGAAGUCUUCGGACCAAAGAUUUAUCGGCAAGGGAUGAGCCCGCGUAGGAUUAGGUAGUUGGUGGGGUAAAGGCCUACCAAGCCGACGAUCCUUAGCUGGUCUGAGAGGAUGAUCAGCCACACUGGGACUGAGACACGGCCCAGACUCCUACGGGAGGCAGCAGUGGGGAAUAUUGGACAAUGGACGCAAGUCUGAUCCAGCAAUGCCGCGUGAGUGAUGAAGGCCUUAGGGUUGUAAAGCUCUUUUACCAGGGAUGAUAAUGACAGUACCUGGAGAAUAAGCUCCGGCUAACUCCGUG
rnacentral:rRNA from 1 species